UGCCAUUCUGACUACAGGAAAUGCCUGCCCGGGUGGCAGCAAGCAGGAAUGAUCGAAAUUUGCACUUUUGAAGAAAUGUAAUAAGUCAUUGAGAAAAAAAUGAAGAAACUAUU
rnacentral:lncRNA from 1 species